rnacentral:rRNA from 1 species
CUCCUACGGGAGGCAGCAGUGGGGGAUAUUGCACAAUGGGGGGAACCCUGAUGCGGCGACGCCGCGUGGGUGAAGAAGCGCCUCGGCGCGUAAAGCCCUGUCAGCAGGGAAGAAAAUGACGGUACCUGACUAAGAAGCCCCGGCUAACUACGUGCCAGCAGCCGCGGUAAUACGUAGGGGGCAAGCGUUAUCCGGAUUUACUGGGUGUAAAGGGAGCGUAGACGGUGUGGCAAGUCUGAAGUGAAAGCCCGGGGCUCAACCCCGGGACUGCUUUGGAAACUGUCAUGCUGGAGUGCUGGAGAGGU